rnacentral:rRNA from 1 species
CACGUAGUUAGCCGGUGCUUAUUCUUACGGUACCGUCAUGAGCCCCCUGUAUUAGAAAGAGCCUUUUCGUUCCGUACAAAAGCAGUUUACAACCCGAAGGCCUUCAUCCUGCACGCGGCAUUGCUGGAUCAGGCUUGCGCCCAUUGUCCAAAAUUCCCCACUGCUGCCUCCCGUAGGAGUCUGGACCGUGUCUCAGUUCCAGUGUGGCUGGUCGUCCUCUCAGACCAGCUACAGAUCGCAGGCUUGGUGAGCCUUUACCUCACCAACUACCUAAUCUGAUAUCAGCCGCUCCAAUCGCGCGAGGUCCUUGCGAAUCCCCCGCUUUCAUCCGUAGAUCGUAUGCGGUAUUAGCACAGCUUUCGCUGCGUUAUCCCCCAGACUGGGCACGUUCCGAUACUUUACUCACCCGUUCGCCACUCGUCAGCAUCCGAAGACCUGUUACCGUUCGACUUGCAUGUGUAAGGCAUGCCGCCAGCGUUCAAU